rnacentral:rRNA from 1 species
CUUAGAAGCAGCCACUCAUUAAAAGAGUGCGUAAUAGCUCACUGGUCGAGUGACCCUGCGCCGAAAAUUUAACGGGGCUAAAUCGUACACCGAAGCUUGGGAUGCAGUAAUGCAUGGUAGGAGAGCGUCGUAUAAGGGGUGAAGUCAGAGCGUAAGCGCUGGUGGACUUUAUACGAGUGAGAAUGCCGGAAUGAGUAGCGAGAAAUAUGUGAGAAUCAUAUUGGCCGAAAGUCUAAGGUUUUUGGAGGAAGGUUCGUCCGCUCCAAGUAAGCCGGGAGCUAAGGUGAGGCCGAAAGGCGUAGCCGAUGCACAUACGGUAGAUAUUCCGUAGCCGCCAAAAGAUUUAAGUAAGAGGACACCUUGAAAGGACUUGACCCGGGCGAUGGUUGCCCCGGGCGAAAGGGACCGAAAUUUAGUAGGGAAGCAAGUUUGGACGAGGGCGAGAAAAGUCUUAUGUAUAUCUUCGGCGCCCGUACCGCAAACCGACACAGGUAGAUAGGAAGAGAAUUCUAAGGCCAACGGGAGAAGGGUAGUUAAGGAACUCGGCAAAUUGACCCCGUAACUUAGGAAUAAGGGGUGCCACAGCGAUGUGGUCGCAGAGAAUAGGCCCAGGCAACUGUUUAUCAAAAACACAGGUCUCUGCCAAAUCGAAAGAUGAAGUAUAGGGGCUGACACCUGCCCGGUGCUGGAAGGUUAAGAGGAGAUGUGCAAGCAUUGAAUUGAAGCCCCAGUAAACGGCGGCCGUAACUAUAACGGUCCUAAGGUAGCGAAAUUCCUUGUCGGGUAAGUUCCGACCCGCACGAAUGGUGUAAUGAUCUGGGCACUGUCUCAAUUACCCGCCCGGCGAAAUUGUAGUACCGGUGAAGAUGCCGGUUACCCGCGACAAGACGGAAAGACCCCAUGGAGCUUUACUGUAGCUUAAUAUUGGGUUUCGAUAAUUUAUGUAUAGGAUAGGCGGGAGACUAGGAAACCGUGGCGCCAGCCACGGCGGAGUCGACGUUGGAAUACCGCUCUUAAGUUAUUGGAAUUCUAACCUGCGGCCAUGAAUCUGGCCGGGGGACAUUGUUAGGUGGGCAGUUUGACUGGGGCGGUCGCCUCCAAAAAGGUAACGGAGGCGCUCAAAGGUUGGCUCAGCAUGGUUGGAAACCAUGCCUUAGAGUGUAAACGCGUAAGCCAGCCUAACUGCGAGGAUGACGGUCCGAGCAGUAACGAAAGUUGGAGUUAGUGAUCCGGCGGUAUGAGAGUGGAAUUGCCGUCGCUCAACGGAUAAAAGCUACCCUGGGGAUAACAGGCUGAUCUCCCCCAAGAGUCCACAUCGACGGGGAGGUUUGGCACCUCGAUGUCGGCUCAUCACAUCCUGGGGCUGUAUUCGGUCCCAAGGGUUCGGCUGUUCGCCGAUUAAAGUGGUACGCGAGCUGGGUUCAGAACGUCGUGAGACAGUUCGGUCCCUAUCUGUCGUGGGCGCAGGAUAUUUGAGGAGAGCUGUCCUUAGUACGAGAGGACCGGGAUGGACGCACCUCUGGCGCACCAGUUGUCACGCCAGUGGCACAGCUGGGCAACUAUGUGCGGAACGGAUAAACGCUGAAAGCAUCUAAGCGUGAAGCCGACUCCAAGAUUAGAUAUCCCAUAGCGUAAGCUAGUAAGACCCCUUGUAGACUACAAGGUUGAUAGGCUGCAUGUGCAAGCACGGUAACGUGUUCAGCUUGGCAGUACUAAUAGGUCGAGGGCUUGACCA